rnacentral:rRNA from 1 species
AACGAACGCUGGCGGCAUGCUUAACACAUGCAAGUCGAACGCUUGUAGUAAUACAAGAGUGGCGCACGGGUGAGUAAUACGUAGGUAAUGUACCAUACUGUACGGGAUAACCGACCGAAAGGUUGGCUAAUACCGUAUACGCUUUCUUGAGGUUUGCCGAUGGAAAGGAAAGGGGGGCAACUCCCGCGGUUUGAUCAGCCUGCGUCCCCUCAGCUAGUUGGUGAGGUAAUGGCUCCCCGAGGCAACGACGGGUAGCUGGUUUGAGAGGAUGAUCAGCCCCCCUGGGACUGAGACCCGGCCCCGACUCCUUCGGGAGGCAGCAGUGGGGAAUAUUGGACAAUGGGCGAAAGCCUGAUCCAGCAAUGCCGCGUGAGUGAUGAAGGCCUUCGGGUUGUAAAGCUCUGUCGAGAGGGACGAAUGGCUUCGGGUAACGCCGAAGAUUGACGGUACCUCUAAAGGAAGCCCCGGCUAACUCUGUG